UAGUUUGUGAUUUUGAGGGCCUCUAACAGUAUUAAAGCAGCGGCAGCUGCUGCAGGCAGACAUGAUGGCUAGGCUAAAACAGGAAGGUGAGGUUAAUUAAGUCCUGUUGUGGGGUUUGAGGGCCAGAUUCUAAUUUUGGGAGUUUUAUUUAAUGUCGGGAGCAGAUUGGGUAAUAAAAUGUAUAUAUUGAGAAUAAGAUGGCCUUUUGACCUUUUAGGGUCUAGG
rnacentral:lncRNA from 10 species